UUUGGUGGCGAUAGCGAAGAGGUCACACCCGUUCCCAUACCGAACACGGAAAGUUAAAGCUCUUCAGCGCCGAUGGUAGUUGGGGGUCUCCCCCUGUGAGAGUAGGACGCCGCCAAGC
rnacentral:rRNA from 1 species